rnacentral:misc_RNA from 1 species
GAUGAAGAACGCAGCGAAAUGCGAUAAGUAAUGUGAAUUGCAGAAUUCCGUGAAUCAUCGAAUCUUUGAACGCACAUUGCGCCCCCUGGCAUUCCGGGGGGCAUGCCUGUCCGAGCGUCAUUUCUGCCCUCAAGCACGGCUUGUGUGUUGGGUGUGGUCCCCCCGGGGACCUGCCCGAAGGGCAGCGGCGACGUCCGUCUGGUCCUCGAGCGUAUGGGGCUCUGUCACUCGCUCGGGAAGGACCUGCGGGGGUUGGUCACCACUAUAUUUUACCACGGUUGACCUCGGAUCAGGUAGGAGUUACCCGCUGAACUUAAGCAUAUCAAUAAGCGGAGGA